AGCUGCUACGUCCGCGUACUUUUUCGCUGAAGAUCGAGCACCUAUAAAUUCCAUUCACCAGCUUCACUAUGAUUCAUCAACCAAAGCCAACCAAAAACUUCCUCUGCUGCUUAGCUAAAGAAUCAUCGCCAUCAUGAGUGUGGAGAUCCUCGACGGCAAGACGGUCCGGAGCUUCGUGGAGGACGAGGGCGCCUUCAACUCCUCGGUCGACGGCCGCUUCGCCGCGCUCGACGCCAACCGCGACGGCCUCCUCUCCUACACCGAGAUGGCCGGGGAGCUGAUGAGCCUCCGCGUGCUGGAGAAGCACUUCGGCGUCGACGACGAGGCCGCCAUGGGCGCCGACGAGCUCGUGGAGCUGUACCGUGGCCUGUUCGCGAGGUUCGACCGCGACGGCAAUGGCGCGGUGGACCUGGAGGAGUUCCGGGCCGAGAUGAAGGAGAUGCUGCUCGCCGUCGCCAAUGGCCUCGGGUUCCUGCCGGUGCAGAUGGUCGUCGAGGAAGGCAGCUUUCUCAAGGUGGCCGUCGACAGGGAGCUGGCCAAAGCUGCUUAAAUUAAUAUACCUGAACCGGCGAGCAUUUAAAUUUUCACACAGCUACGAUUUUAAUUGAUAUAUCUUGUGUUCACAAUAUUGAUCAUUGUUAUUUGAUAGCCUCUGUUGAGCUAUAUUUCAUUGUUACUUGUGUAACUGUGCUCUUUGAGAUAGACAAAGAUAAUAUGAUAUAAAAAACCAGUUUUGAUCAAGAGAAUCGGUUUGAAAGCUUGUGUGUGUCUACUAGAUACCAGGGUUUCAUCUUUCGGUUUGGUCAUUUGGACCAGGGUGCCCGAAAUAUCGAAAUUUCAGAAAUUUCGGUUCGAAAUUAUAUGAAUUUUUGAACAAAAUUUGAUUAAAUUAAACAAAAUAUUAUCAAAUUUACAAAAAAAAUGAAAAAAAAAUCGGUCGAAAUAAUGUCGUAUCUGGGUUCGAUCCGAAAUUUUGAACCCAUGCUAGCUGCCAGGCUUUGGAUUCUGAGCGCCACGUCAGGAACAAUAAAAUAUUUGGGCCUCUAACUCUUCGUGGGCUGAUCUGGGCCGUAGGCAGACGAGAGAGCCCAUGACACGAUCUCAUCAAUUCCGUAGUGGCCACGAACUCACGUAGCGCAAAUGCCGCUCCCGUUUCCGAAUCGUGCGAUUUAUCUCCUUUCUGUUUCCGAAUUUUAUUAGUAGUUGCGAUAUUAUUAAUACAGGUUUCGUAGCGGCCGCGUCUCCUCCUCCCUUAUAUAAAGGCAGCGUUUCUGCAAGUUAUUACCCAAAUCUACACGAGAGAGAGAUCGUUCGACGCAUAUAGAGAGAGAGAGAGGCAAGAUGCAGAUCUUCGUGAAGACGCUGACGGGGAAGUCGAUCACGCUGGAGGUGGAGAGCAGCGACACCAUCGACAACGUCAAGGCCAAGAUCCAGGACAAGGAAGGUAAUAUAACACGAUAUCAAGAUGAUAUCCCUAGCUUCUUCGUUUGCAUGUUCAUCUUGUUUAAUCGUUGAUGUCUUGAUGUCGUCUCGCGAUGAUCGACUGCACGUACGUACGCCGUACAUUUGCUGGCAUUGCUCGUCCCGUUAAUUUAGUGACUCAUCCUUUGUUUCGUACGUCGUGCUCUUGUGCGUCUAGACAGUAGAAAUCAUGUGUUUUGCACUAGAUGCGUGGUGGGUUGAUACUGCCGAAAUUGUUCAAUAUUGUAGUUGUAGAUUAGAUCGAUUUGAUAACCAAAAAGGAAGCCUUGUACUUUUCCAUUACAUUACAUAGGUCUAAGCAUGCGUGUGUUUAGUCGCAGUAAGCACGGAGCAACAAAUCCAAUCUAGCCAUCUGCUUAUAGUUCGUCUUCGCUGUGUACAUGUUUCUAUUCUGUCUUAGUAGUUUAAAAAGAUAUGCUAGUAUCUUUUAUCUCUUGAUAGGGAGUGCCUUCAUCGAUGACAUUGCUGCAUAACUGUAAUUAAAGACUCUUUUUUCUUGUUUUCAUGGAUUAAUAUUAACUUCCGAGCCCAUUCGACUAGCUAAAAUUCAUUCAUAUCUCUUUCACUGUUGUAUAUAUAGGUAUCCCUCCGGACCAGCAGCGCCUCAUCUUCGCGGGGAAGCAGCUGGAGGAUGGCCGCACCCUGGCCGACUACAACAUCCAGAAGGAGUCGACGCUGCACCUGGUGCUCCGCCUCCGCGGCGGCAGCAGGGGCGGCUACACCAUCCAGGAGCCCAGCCUCCUGCUCCUGGCGCUCAAGUACAACGAGAAGAAGAUGGUCUGCCGCAAGUACGAACUCAUCUUGAUCCUGUUUGACUAAUGCUAUAUAAUUUUUUUUUUAAAAAAAGAAACUUUACGGAAUGCUUACUAACAAAGAUCUCAGCUUUGAAUUUUAACGCUUAAUUCGUACGUGUAUUCCUGUUCCACGAUGCAUCCUAAUUAAGUUCCUAACCGCAGGUGCUACGCACGCCUUCCCGCCAGGUCUACCAACUGCCGCAAGAAGAAGUGUGGCCACACCAACCAGGUGAAGUGGUCCUUUUACUUAGUUUUGUCGUCAAAGAAAUGUUUUAACGUUUUUAGAUAGUUUGUUUUCAAAAUUGGUCGUUUGGUUGCAUCAGUCAUGUACACGGAUUCGUGUUACUCCCUCCGUUUUAUAUUAUAAGUCUUUUUUAGCAUUGUCUAUAUUCAUAUGUAUGUUAACGAAUCUAGACAUAUAACAUCUAUAUGAAUAUGGACAAUGCUAUAAAGUUUUAUAAUAUGAAACGAAUUUUUUUUAUAUAAUAGAUAUAAAAUCCAUCCACUAUUUGUACAUGUUAUUUUUUUCGAUUUGUAUACAUUGCCGUACGUUGGUUGUACGGCUGACCUAAUGUUGUUUUCUUCCAUCUGAAUUUUCAGAUAAGGCCAAAGAAGAGGUUUAUAUCCAAGACUGCCAACUGAAUAAAAGAGUUGUCAUGCAUCAGUUGAGUCGAAGAGUCUUCCUAUUCAGUUAUUAGCUCAUAUGUUAGCAUCAGUUGAGUCAAAGAGUCUUCAUAAAUGUUAGCCUGGCUGCUUAUGCUAUUUCUGUUUGUGAGAUUUGGUUAGAAGUUUUUACUGUUCAAAUCUCUAUAUACGCCCCUACUUUUCUGUUUUUGAGAUUUGGUUUGAAGUUUUUACUUGUUCAAAUCUCUAUAUACGCCCCUACUGCGAGACACCUAAUUUCGUUUACGGUUGCUUAAUUUCCUUUCUUUUGCAUGAAUGUUACGAGAAACUAGUUAGAGAAGUUUGAUUUAGAACCUCUUAUAUAUAAUAUAAUAGGAAACGGAAGGAGUGGGCAUGUUCCAAACUCACAUAUAUAAUCCCAGCGAAGACUAGCAGAUGCGAAGAUCAGGAAUAAACCUUUCGUGGUUUAGCUGAUUUGAUCAGACCUCACCAAAAUUUCUGAAAUUUUUGAAAUUUUGAAUAAAAUUUAGUUGUAUUUGAACAAAUAUUACCAAAAUUUACGAAAAAAAUAAAAAGUUAGAAAAUUUCAGCCAAAAUAAUAAUGUAUUGGAGAGGUCUGAAAUGACCGAAAUUUCCAACUUUGGCCAAGAUAACUUGCCCGAUCUCACAAAAGUCAACACAUUCAAAUUAACCAAGGUCAUCAAUGGCAAAUGACUAAUCUCACUAAAUAUAAUUCAACACAUUCGAAUUAACUGAGGUCAUCAAUGAUAGAUUAUUAAUCUCAGUAAGUUCCUAGUGAUAAAAAAAAUAAUCUAUGACUCCAGUACACAAAUAAUGCUUCCGCCGUUUGUUUUGCUGGCAACCCCACGAGUGCUUCCCGUUUCUAUUGAUGGCGGCGUGGCGCUAGGGCACUAAACACCAUGAACGUUUGCCAUAAAUGCUUCCCCUGUUAUUUUUUUUGCCUCACCAUGAACGUUUGACAUAGUGUUUCCCCUGUUAUUCUUUUCUGUAAGGCUAGUUCACAACAUAUGUUCGUUUGAGAAUUUCGGCAGGCAAAACAAGAUUAUUAUAGUACUAUUAGCUAUUACUGUAAACAUAAAACAUUGAUGUGGUGUGGUUGUUUUUUUUUUCCCAAGGAUGUAAACUUGAAUUUAUAUAUCAAAGCGUAAUGUCGCUCUAUUUUGUGCGUGUGUUUUUUUUUCAAAAAUAAUGUAUCAAUUCCUUGUUUAAUGUAUCAAUUCCUUUUAAGAAACAUACAUAAAACCGAUCCAAGUAGCUAUUAGAACUCGAUUCCGCUAGUUGCAACAGCCACGCCACGCCUACUCCGUACUUACUAAGGGAAUCAUGUUCAAAAUUCGGCUAAUCAAUCCACAGAAAUCCUGGCAAAGAUCACCAGAAUUUCUACUAAGUCAUCCAGAUCCCAACCGUGACCGACUCCUGAUUCCCGGUAUCUACACAGAUCAGUGCACGUCAAUACCGACGCAGUCGUUCGCCUAUAACAUUGGUUGCUUUCCAGGCAAGUCAUGUGUCUCAUGCCCAUAGCAUACGACUCUCUCCAAAAGACCAAAACCCAUUGGCCCGUCCCACGCAUCCACUAGACCACCACGCGCCAAGCUGAAGCCGGUCGGCAAUUGGCAGCUAGCGUACCACUCGAUCAAUUCCAUUAGUAAACUCUCCCCUAUAUAAACAGCACUCGCAAGCAUCGAUCUCCACUCAAAUUAGCCACUCCACUCCAAGCAAACCGAGUCUCACUUACUCUGAGCUUCUCUACACAUCCAGUGCUACUCCAGUUUAAUUAGCAUCCGCCACCAUGAGCGUGGAGAUCCUCGACGGCAAGACGGUGCGGAGCUUCGUGGAGGACGAGGGCGCCUUCAACUCCUCGGUCGACGGCCGCUUCGCCGCGCUCGACGCCAACCGCGACGGCGUGCUCUCCUACGCCGAGAUGGCCGGGGAGCUGAUGAGCCUCCGCGUGCUGGAGAAGCACUUCGGCGCCGACGAAGACGAGGCCGCCAUGGGCGCCGACGAGCUCGCGGCGCUGUACCGCGGGCUGUUCGCGCGGUUCGACCGCGACGGCAGCGGCGGCGUCGACCUGGAGGAGUUCCG
rnacentral:lncRNA from 1 species